GGGUUGUGAGGUUAAGCGACUAAGCGUACACGGUGGAUGCCCUGGCAGUCAGAGGCGAUGAAGGGCGUGCUAAUCUGCGAUAAGCGCCGGUAAGGUGAUAUGAACCGUUAUAACCGGCGAUACCCGAAUGGGGAAACCCAGUGUGAUUCGUCACACUAUCAUUAACUGAAUCCAUAGGUUAAUGAGGCGAACCGGGGGAACUGAAACAUCUAAGUACCCCGAGGAAAAGAAAUCAACCGAGAUUCCCCCAGUAGCGGCGAGCGAACGGGGAGGAGCCCAGAGCCUGAAUCAGCAUGUGUGUUAGUGGAAGCGUCUGGAAAGGCGCGCGAUACAGGGUGACAGCCCCGUACACAAAAGCGCAUAUGCUGUGAGCUCGAUGAGUAGGGCGGGACACGUGGUAUCCUGUCUGAAUAUGGGGGGACCAUCCUCCAAGGCUAAAUACUCCUGACUGACCGAUAGUGAACCAGUACCGUGAGGGAAAGGCGAAAAGAACCCCGGCGAGGGGAGUGAAAAAGAACCUGAAACCGUGUACGUACAAGCAGUGGGAGCCCCACCACUAAGCCAGUGGUGAACUCCACAUACGCAUCCUUUGCUGAGGAGACGGUUAACGGAGCGAAAGCGACGUUCAACCUCAAAAGAAGCAGAGGGGGCUUAGUGGUGGGGUGACUGCGUACCUUUUGUAUAAUGGGUCAGCGACUUAUAUUCUGUAGCAAGGUUAACUGUAUAGGGGAGCCGGAGGGAAACCGAGUCUUAACCGGGCGUUAAGUUGCAGGGUAUAGACCCGAAACCCGGUGAUCUAGCCAUGGGCAGGUUGAAGGUUGGGUAACACUAACUGGAGGACCGAACCGACUAAUGUUGAAAAAUUAGCGGAUGACCUGUGGCUGGGGGUGAAAGGCCAAUCAAACCGGGAGAUAGCUGGUUCUCCCCGAAAGCUAUUUAGGUAGCGCCUCGUGAAUUCAUCUCCGGGGGUAGAGCACUGUUUCGGCUAGGGGGCCAUCCCGGCUUACCAACCCGAUGCAAACUGCGAAUACCGGAGAAUGUUAUCACGGGAGACACACGGCGGGUGCUAAUGUCCGUCGUGAAGAGGGAAACAACCCAGAC
rnacentral:rRNA from 6 species